rnacentral:rRNA from 1 species
AUGCCUAGAAAGAAUCAAGAAUGUACAAGCACGGGAGGAGGAGCAAGCACAAGCAAGAAGAGAAAGGCUUCUUUACAGUCCAACUCCAACCGAGAAGAUUCUCCGCCUCCGAGGGAUGACCUAUCACGCAUAUUACGCAAGAGCCUACUUCCCUGUGGUUAUCCUAUGCCAUCUAAGAUUGCUGGGGGCAUGCGCUUGGUGAAUACAUUUGAGCUCUGCUUUGGAAAUUUAGAUGGCUACAGUGAAGAGCAAACCAGCAUUAAGUUGCUUGCUUUGAGCCUAUGCCAGUCCAUUGUUUCACUUGCUGCUUUUAAGGGUAAAACUAGACAGUUUACAUGCACAGGCACAAUCAUACAGCACACAACAUCCAGCAUGAGCAUUCUAACCUCUGCUAGCUUGAUUAGAUCCCCUGAAGAUGAAAGUAAGAUACUUGAUAAACUGGAGAUUAAGGUGCGCCUGCCCAAUGGCAAGCUUGUUGUAGGAAAACUGUGGAAAUAUAAUUUUUAUUAUAAUAUUGCUGUUGUGAACACCAAGGCUUUUCCAGAACUUCGUGCAGCAUGCUUUCAUAAUGAGGUGACAGCUAAUGUCAAAUUCUCCCAAAGUAAACUGGUAGCUAUUGGACGAGUUUUUGAAUCUGGAGAACUAAUGGCUACAGGUGGGACACUGCUGUACAAAACUUGCAAAUUCAAUUGCCAGCAACUCAUGGCAUCUACUUGUAAGACCACAAAGGCUGGAAUUGGGGGCCCCAUUGUUGCUGCUGAUGGAAAAUUCAUAGGCAUGAGCUUUUAUUAUAAGGAUGGAGCUCCUUUCUUACCAAUCACUAUCCUCCAGAAAUGCUUAAAGCACUUCAAUGAAUUUGGGAGAGUUCUGCAGCCAUGGCAUGGUCUGAGGAUUGGAUCACUUCAAGCUGAAAAACUGUGUGUCCGUGAAGAAGUACAUGACAGCUUCCCCCAUGCACAUGACAUUUACGUACAGAAGGUUGUGGGUGGAUCCCCGGCAGCAGAUUCUGGAAUCAAAGCUGGCGAUGUAAUUUCCAAGCUUGAUGACUUUUCGCUGUCCAAUGCACACGAGUUCCAUGAGCUGAUUUUGGACAAGGCAGAGAGUGCUUUACGACAUGGUGAAGGAAUGCAUUUUACGGUAUCUGUCCUAAGGCCAAGCAGUGGUUUUCAGUUCUGUGCAACUAUCAGUGCUGAAGUUAUCGACACAAGCAAACAAAACAUGAGCAAUCAAAACAAGAGCAAGGAAAACAGUGUUAGAUGGCCGGUAUCCAAGACGAAGUGGCUAUAUCCAGAUGACGUACGUGAUGCUGAUAUGAUGCCCCUUGUUCGGAAGUGUCGUCGACCUGGCUAUAUAUAUGAAGCCCCCUUGACCACUGACUUAUCUAGAUACACAAGGCUCUGA